rnacentral:rRNA from 1 species
AUGCACGCUGGCGGCGUGCCUAAUACCUGCAAGUCGAGCGAACGGACGAGAAGCUUGCUUCUCUGAUGUUAGCGGCGGACGGGUGAGUAACACGUGGAUAACCUACCUAUAAGACUGGGAUAACUUCGGGAAACCGGAGCUAAUACCGGAUAAUAUUUUGAACCGCAUGGUUCAAAAGUGAAAGACGGUCUUGCUGUCACUUAUAGAUGGAUCCGCGCUGCAUUAGCUAGUUGGUAAGGUAACGGCUUACCAAGGCAACGAUGCAUAGCCGACCUGAGAGGGUGAUCGGCCACACUGGAACUGAGACACGGUCCCGACUCCUACGGGAGGCAGCAGUAGGGAAUAUUCCGCAAUGGGCGAAAGCCUGCCGGAGCAACGCCGCGUGCGUGAUGAAGGUCUUCGGCUCGUAAAGCUCUGUUAUUAGGGAAGAACAUAUGUGUACUUAACUGUGCACAUCUUGACGGUACCUAAUCAGAAAGCCACGGCUAACUACGUG